rnacentral:misc_RNA from 1 species
CCGAGUUCAUGCCCUCACGGGUAGAUCUCCCACCCUAUGUUAUAUUACCUUUGUUGCUUUGGCGGGCCGUCAGGCUUCGGUCAGGCUACCGGCCCCGGCUGGUAAGCGCCCGCCAGAGAACCCUAAACUCUGAAUGUUAGUGUCGUCUGAGUACUAUCUAAUAGUUA